GCUCGGGGUUAGGCUGGGCAUCGGUCAGCGAGUGUAUCCCUGGCAAGAAGGGAGUCUGGAUGGAGAAGGGAGAAUCCUUGACUCUCCUAAAAAUAUAAGGUAGUUGCUGUUCCUUAGAUGUUGUUCCAGGCGCUGGAGCAGAAGUCCCCUGUGGCCUGUGGUGAGG